GAACACGCCAACGGGCCACGCUCGGAAGCUUUCGUAAGCGCAGCGCCGGGGUGCAAAUCCCCGCUUAGCGGACCGCCUCGGCCUCCCCGAGGCCGUUUGUUGACAACCUAACCUUGUCUGCCUAUUAUCCCAUCCAUGUGGAUGGUAGGUGGAUGGGUAUAGGAUGGCGCAGAGGCAAUUGCAGGAGGCGCGGCGAAAGGAAUCCGAGUCGGAAAAGAUCACCAUCAAUCUCGGCUUCGUCGAUCUUGG
rnacentral:misc_RNA from 1 species